AGUCUGCCAGUGGAGCUGAAUAGAAAGAGUCUUGGUUCUUUUCCUCAGAGUUUGUACCCUAAUGAAGGAAACAACCCAGAUGAAAUUAUGCCUCGAGCUACAAGUUAAUAUACACAGCUAACUUUUGUUUGAGAUCAGAAACACAAAUGCAGCCUUAUUUUCCUCUGCUUUCAAUUUUUAAGGAAAAUGUUCAUAAAAGAAUGAAGGUGGGUGGCCUAGAGUCAGAAUGGGCAUGGAGCACUGUAGCAUUUCUGAAUCAGCCUCCACGAUGCAGCUUUGAACUUUGUGGAAUUCCAGAGUAGUCGCUAUCCAAGUGACAGUGCGCAUGUGUAUUUCAUAGCUUGCUGCCUUUCCAGUUCUCUGUCCGUUUGGGGUGUCCAUGCCUUCACUUUCUUUCUGAAAGCUGACUCCACAACAGGCCCAUUGAGGGAGAGAUACUUAAAGAAAGGCUUCCCAGAAGAUGUGAGUUUUAACUGAACACUUUUUUUUCUAAGUUUUUAUUUUCAUCCCCAGUAUUUCAAGUGACUUAGUGGAAAAACAAUUAAAUUGGAUUUUGGAGCUAGGUAGAUUUG
rnacentral:lncRNA from 1 species